AUUGAACGCAGGCGGCAUGCCUUACACAUGUAAGUCGAACGGUAACAGGUCUUCGGAUGCUGACGAGUGGCGAACGGGUGAGUAAUACAUCGGGACGUGCCCGAGAGUGGGGGAUAACGAAGCGAAAGCUUUGCUAAUACCGCAUACGAUCUCAGGAUGAAAGCAGGGGACCGCAAGGCCUUGCGCUCACGGAGCGGCCGAUGGCAGAUUAGGGAGUUGGUGGGAUAAAAGCUUACCAAGCCGACGAUCUGUAGCUGGUCUGAGAGGACGACCAGCCACACUGGGACUGAGACACGGCCCAGACUCCUACGGGAGGCAGCAGUGGGGAAUUUUGGACAAUGGGCGCAAGCCUGAUCCAGCCAUGCCGCGUGCAGGAUGAAGGCCUUCGGGUUGUAAACUGCUUUUGUACGGAACGAAAAGACUCCUUCUAAUAAAGGGGGUCCAUGACGGUACCGUAAGAAUAAGCACCGGCUAACUACGUGCCAGCCGCCGCGGUAAAAC
rnacentral:rRNA from 1 species